rnacentral:rRNA from 1 species
AUUGAACGCUGGCGGCAGGCCUAACACAUGCAAGUCGAACGGUAACAGGAAGCAGCUUGCUGCUUCGCUGACGAGUGGCGGACGGGUGAGUAAUGUCUGGGACACUGCCUGAUGGCGGGGGAUAACUACUGGAAACGGUAGCUAAUACCGCAUAACGUCGCAAGACCAAAGAGGGGGACCUUAGGGCCUCUUGCCAUCGGAUGGGCCCAGAUGGGAUUAGCUAGUAGGUUGGGUAACGGCUCACCUAGGCGACGAUCCCUAGCUGGUCUGAGAGGAUGACCAGCCACACUGGAACUGAGACACGGUCCAGACUCCUACGGGAGGCAGCAGUGGGGAAUAUUGCACAAUGGGCGCAAGCCUGAUGCAGCCAUGCCGCGUGUAUGAAGAAGGCCUUCGGGUUGUAAAGUACUUUCAGCGGGGAAGAAGGGAGUAAAGUGAAUACCUUUGCUCAUUGACGUUACCCGCAGAAGAAGCACCGGCUAACUACGUG